rnacentral:tRNA from 1 species
GGGCCUAUAGCUCAGCUGGUUAGAGCUCACGCCUGAUAAGCGUGAGGUCGAUGGUUCGAGUCCAUUUAGGCCCA